AACUACUUAGCUAAAUUAAAGCUUUUGUCUUGAAAACUUAAAAUAGGAUUCUCUUAGUAGUUU
rnacentral:tRNA from 1 species